rnacentral:misc_RNA from 1 species
GGCCCUCUGUCCAAAUCUUCAGUAUCUUUUGAUGCUCUUGAACUCAAACUUUGUAGAGGAUCGAAGGCCUCACUUCAAUAGAUUAGAUUAUGGAUGUCGACAAAAAGAAGAGAGAAUGUUGAGAUCGAGAAUUUAGAGAAAAUGGCUGAGACUUGAAACUUGAGAGAGUUGAGAUUUUGAGUAUUUGAGUGAUAGGCAACAAAUGGC